rnacentral:misc_RNA from 1 species
GAUGAAGAACGUAGCGAAAUGCGAUAAGUAGUGUGAAUUGCAGAAUUCAGUGAAUCAUCGAAUCUUUGAACGCACAUUGCGCCCCUUGGUAUCCCGAGGGGCAUGCCUGUUCGAGCGUCAUUUCACCACUCAAACCUGGCUUGGUGUUGGGCGACGUCCCCUUUGGGGACGCGCCUCGAAACGCUCGGCGGCGUGGCACCGGCUUUAAGCGUAGCAGAAUCUUUCGCUUUGGAAGUCGGGGCCCCGUCUGCCGGAAGACCUACUCGCAAGGUUGACCUCGGAUCAGGCAGGGAUACCCGCUGAACUUAAGCAUAUCAAUAAGCGGAGGA